GGCAUCACUCCGGUGGCCUUGUGGUUAAAGCGUCCACCUCGGAUGCGGGAGGUCAUGGGUUUGAUUCCUGGUCGAGUCA